rnacentral:rRNA from 1 species
UACAGAGGUCCCAAGCGUUGUUCGGAUUCACUGGGCGUAAAGGGUGCGUAGGUGGCGGGGUAAGUUCGGUGUGAAAGCUUCGAGCUCAACUCGGAAAUGGCAUUGAAUACUAUCUCGCUCGAGGGUCGGAGGGGAGACUGGAAUUCUCGGUGUAGCAGUGAAAUGCGUAGAUAUCGAGAGGAACACCAGUGGCGAAGGCGAGUCUCUGGACGACUCCUGACACUGAGGCACGAAAGCUAGGGGAGCAAACAGG